rnacentral:rRNA from 1 species
UACGGAGGGGACUAGCGUUGUUCGGAAUUACUGGGCGUAAAGCGCACGUAGGCGGAUUCGUAAGUCAGGGGUGAAAUCCCGAGGCUCAACCUCGGAACUGCCUUUGAUACUGCGAAUCUCGAGUCCGGAAGAGGUGAGUGGAAUUCCUAGUGUAGAGGUGAAAUUCGUAGAUAUUAGGAAGAACACCAGUGGCGAAGGCGGCUCUCUGGGACGGUACUGACGCUGAGCCGCGACAGCGUGGGGAGCGAACAGG